GAUGAACGCUAGCUACAGGCUUAACACAUGCAAGUCGAGGGGAAACGACAUCGAAAGCUUGCUUUUGAUGGGCGUCGACCGGCGCACGGGUGAGUAACGCGUAUCCAACCUGCCCAUCACUUGGGAAUAAUCUUGCGAAAGUAAGACUAAUACCCAAUGAUAUCCCACGAAGGCAUCGGAAUGGGAUUAAAGAUUUAUCAGUGAUGGAUGGGGAUGCGUCUGAUUAGCUUGUUGGCGGGGUAACGGCCCACCAAGGCAACGAUCAGUAGGGGUUCUGAGAGGAAGGUCCCCCACAUUGGAACUGAGACACGGUCCAAACUCCUACGGGAGGCAGCAGUGAGGAAUAUUGGUCAAUGGGCGAGAGCCUGAACCAGCCAAGUAGCGUGCAGGAAGACGGCCCUAUGGGUUGUAAACUGCUUUUAUAAGGGAAUAAAGUGGGUCACGUGUGACUUUUUGCAUGUACCUUAUGAAUAAGGACCGGCUAAUUCCGUG
rnacentral:rRNA from 1 species